GCAGGAGGAAGGAGAACCAGGGGCUGCUAACUGGGCAGCAGGACCAGCCUCCAUCUCCCCACAUGCUGGAGUCCUCAGUUCACUCAGGCAGAAGGCACAGCCCAGAACCAGGACCUCUCCAACACAUCCUUUGUGGUGCCUGCUGCAGCCACCGAAGCCCAGAGGAAACACUGAACCCAUUCCCAACUUCCUUGCUUCAAGCCCACCAAGGAAGGGAACCACAUCCUCUACAUAUUUCACCAGCCCAAGCACCUAACACACAGUGUGCUGGUUUGAGCCCAGCUGGGAUGUCCUGCUGAGAAGGAUUAGAUGCCAGGCUGUGAAAAGGACCCAGUGCUGGUGGCUGCUGCACUCAGAGCCUGGCUGAGAUGUGGAAGAACAUGAACACGAACAGAGGGCCAAACAAUCACCUAAGGAGCUGCGUCGGAGGGAGGGGAGGUGUUGCAAAGUGCCUGCUUUAUUAUCAGCUGAAUAUGGACCUGUAAUCUGCUAAUGAUAGAAAUCUGCCCCUUUGCUUUGCCUCUUAUCACUUAAUUGGAGCCAAGGAGCACAUUCAUUUGUUAAUAACUUUAUAAUUGGUGCUAUCUGCCCGGGUCCAUCACAGGAACUGCGAGCAACAACCACUCAGCUCCUCGAUCCAAGCCUCCCUUGGAUGUUUAAACACUGCCCUGCAGGUCUGCAGUGCAAAGGUGCCCGCAGAGGUGCCACAGCCUACCUCUAGCACCCGCAGCUGGCUGCUACCCCCCGGACCUCUGCGUGCCCCUCAGCUCCCAGCCCACGCAGGGACCUGUGUGCUGCUACCAGGAGAGCCUGCUGGCUUGUGCAGUCCCUUCUGCUCUGCUUUAAGCAGGCAGCCCAAUAUUUUGACAAGGCCAGGAUGUGUCUCUUCACACUUGUGCCUGCCUGAGGCUCCCAGCCCGGCUCACCUGAGGCAUCUCCUCUCUCGCUUCGCCAUCUGCUCACAAGCAGGGAGAAAGCAGAGGCAGCUGCAUCCAGGCAGGGUGUGAAGGCAAGCACAUGCCAAAGGGUUUGUUUCCCCCAGCAGUGAAGACACUGAGGAUGUUGCCUACACUGGCAGGCAAGGAAGAGCCAAGCCUGUUCUGAUGGUCCAGACCCACAGUGCUCACGCCAGGGCUUAGUCCCAUCGCUGGGCUCGCUGCUGGGGGGGGAGAUGCAGCUGAGUUCAUCACCUCUGUGCCAAGGCAGAUGCUGUGGAUUAGCCCCAAGUUGCCACAGCCCAGCUCAAGCAGGGCUGGCCUGUGCUUGGCAGCUCUUCCCCACAGCAUGGGCACCUUGGCUAUAAAUACAGCAGAGCAAAACAAACAGGCCACAGAUUGGUCUCUUGCCUGAGGGUAAAUAGCAGGGCUUGGCUGCUUGCCACACACAGUCACAGGCUGGUGGAGCUCAGGAGGGACCUCUGGAGAUAAUUUGGUCCAACCUCCCUUUGCUGAAGCAGGUUCACCUAGAACUGAACUCUCUUUUCUUCCCCUCCCAUCACUGCUGCAGGCAGAGUGCCUGUUGGGAUAAGUCCCUGCACCCUGCCCAGGUGUCUUGCAGGAUGGGAGAGUUGGGACUGGCCAA